GGGCUGUGAUUACAAAGAGAGAGGAUUGAGUGGGGUUUUCCCUUGUCGAAGUUUGGAGAGAAGAUUGAAGAUCGAGAUUGAUAUAUUAAGAUUCGGGGAUGAAUCGAAACUUGCUGCCCCCUUGUUUGUUGCAAGGGCUGGCUUAUGGCAGCUUGUGAAUUUGCCCCAAAUCAAUUUCAUCUCUUUUGUAUUCUCUUCUCUUUCUUCGAUCUGGAUCUUUCCCACUAUGACUACCUUUUUAAAUUUACACUUGAUAUGAGCUCC
rnacentral:snoRNA from 1 species